UCCGUAGGUGAACCUGCGGAAGGAUCAUUAUUGUGUGGGGUGUCUUAUAACUUCGUCUCGGAGUCAUCUGGCAUUCUACUACAGACCCUUUACUUAUAUACCUGUUACUUUAGCAAGCCUGCUCUAUAGCUACCGGCAACAGCUGGUUCGCGCUUGCUAAAGGUCUUUUAAAACUCUCAAGUUGAAAUCUGUCUGAGUAAUAAAAAAUAACUAAAACUUUCAACAAUGGAUCUCUUGGCUCUAGCAUCGAUGAAGAACGCAGCGAAAUGCGAUAAGUAAUGUGAAUUGCAGAUUUCAGUGAAUCAUCGAAUUUUUGAACGCACAUUGCGCCCCUUAGUACUCUAGGGGGCAUGCCUGUUCGAGCGUCAUUACGACCCUCAAGCUCUGCUUGGUAUUAAGUCGCGCCUGCUCUUGCAGGUGGGCUGUAAUGUCAGUGGCAGCGCCGUUAGGCUCUUGCGUAGUAUAUAUUUCUGCAUGGAAGUUCUAAAGGUGCGCUUGCCAGCAACCCUUAUUAUUAUUAGGUUGACCUCGAAUCAGGUAGGGGUUACCCGGCUGGAACUUAAGGCAUAUCAAUAAGGCGGGAGGGAAGGUCGACUGGCCAAGGGGCACACAGGGGGGGGAUA
rnacentral:rRNA from 1 species